UACGUAGGGGGCAAGCGUUGUCCGGAAUCAUUGGGCGUAAAGAGCGUGUAGGCGGCCCGGUAAGUCCGCUGUGAAAGUCCAGGGCUCAACCCUGGGAUGCCGGUGGAUACUGUCGGGCUCGAGUCCGGAAGAGGAGUGUGGAAUUCCUGGUGUAGCGGUGAAAUGCGCAGAUAUCAGGAGGGACACCAAUGGCGAAGGCGACUUCCUGGACCAAUACUGACGCUCAGGUGCGAAAGCGUGGGGAGCAAACAGG
rnacentral:rRNA from 1 species